GACGAACGCUGGCGGCGUGCUUAACACAUGCAAGUCGAGCGGUAGGCCCUUUUGGGGGUACACGAGCGGCGAACGGGUGAGUAACACGUGGGUGACCUGCCCUCAGCUCUGGGAUAAGCCUGGGAAACUGGGUCUAAUACUGGAUAUGACCUUUCCUCGCAUGGGGGUUGGGGUGGAAAGUUUUUCGGCUGGGGAUGGGCCCGGCGGCCUAUCAGCUUGUUGGUGGGGUGAUGGCCUACCAAGGCGACGACGGGUAGCCGGCCUGAGAGGGCGACCGGCCACACUGGGACUGAGACACGGCCCACGACUCCUACGGGAGGGCAGCGGUGGGGAAUAUUGCGCAAUGGGCGGAAGCCUGACGCAGCGACGCCGCGUGGGGGAUGACGGCC
rnacentral:rRNA from 1 species